rnacentral:ribozyme from 1 species
UCGACCACAGGUUCUGUGAAGGAUUUGAUCCGACGCCUCUGGAAGGCUACUAUAGGCUCUCUGUCCCAACUCCUACUUAAUACGUCCGCGACGUACAGAACGGUCACUUGUUGUCUAGUUAUCCAAAAGCUUGGGUAUACGGGGAGACCCAACCCCUUUGGCAAGGCAGAAUUGAGAGGG